ensembl:lncRNA
AAGUUCGAGGGCUCAGAUCGUUGUGGUGUGUUCUGGUAGAAAGAGCUAAGGAAGUUAAGGUGUAAAAGUUUCUCCAAGAAGAGGACAAGAGCUUAAGAACAUGCUUAAGAAUCAUGCUGACCCUGCGAUGGGCCUUCAUGGAGCUUGGAGGAGCUGGUGUGACUUGGAUGGCAGCAGCGUGUGCUGUUCUGCUGUACGAGAAAUCCUGUCUUGAAAGAAGGAGAUGUCAGAGCUGCCCUUGGCAUGAAGCUGCUGCGUGUCCAGAAGGAGGGGUGCGCAGUUUGAGCUGCCUAAAAGAGGACAAAAGUUUGCCCCUCCAUAGGACUUCUGACCUCUAAAACUGUGCACUUCAAAGCACCCCAAACUGGCCAGCUGCAAUCAGAGAUACUCAAAAUCGUCAGUCACUUUUGAAAACAUGGGAAGCAAGUUUCAGGCUUAUCAGUAACUCCAUUCAUUGGACUUCUUUAGAAAGCAAAAUUGCUCCUGGAAAUGCUAAUCAGGAAAUAGAGAAAUAACAGCCCUUGAGAGAUCUCCUCUGAGAGGAACUUUGACUCACCAGACGGAGAGAGAAAUCAGAGCAGCUGUAUGAGUUCUUUGCAUAUACUGUGUGUGCCCUGAACUCUAUCAGAAACCCCAGAAGUGACAUGAAGUGGACAGUGCUGUUGUUACUAACGCUAUCUCAUUUUUGAUUUUUAAGCCAUCUGCAGCCAUGCUGGGAUCGUUCGCCAUAAGGCUCCCUGUAAUGCUAGCAGGUAGUCAGAUCUGAAUGUCUUACUUGAAAAUUACUUCAACUGCAAGGUGGGGAGGAGGAAUGAAAAAAGCUAAGAGAUAAAUAACUAUAAGAAAUACGGUUUGAGUCAGACCACCCAUUCAUCCAGGCUGGAUGUCUUUGGCUGCCACAAAAAGAUGUUGUCUAGGAGGAGCGUGACUCUAGCCACCUUCUGCAGCCCUUUCUGCUCAUGCUCCUCCAGCAUCCAUAAUCAUUGGAUUAAAAGUGUUAGAGGGUACAUUCCUUUGGUAGACCUGUUGGCCAUGAGCUUUUCUAAUCCCUUUAAAAUCUGCUCGCUCUGUCUGCCUCCACAGCUGCCUGUGGCAGCAAAUUCCAGAAGUUCACUAAUGGUAUUGCUUCACACAGUGUUGCAAACAGCUUUUCAGCAAGGCGACCUAACAUGCGUUGUAAAGUUUUCUAGCCACAUCUGAACAGGCUGUGUUGAACGUCUUUUGGGUUAAAAUAUUAUGAAGCUUUAAAAUAUACUGUACUGUGGAUCAGAGAAAUAUUACAGUCCUCUGAAAUCUCCAGGAUAUUAUGGUCUGAUUCUCCAAGUGAGCAUUGGUAUGUAAUGUGAACCGUGCUGAUAGUUUGUAGGAGGGCAGUAGGACUGUGUGUGAAGUCACUAAGGUUCUUCUUAGCUAGUUGAGGGACUGCUUAACUUCUGGAAGGAUUGUGGCCCCAACACUGACUGUGCUGUUGCAGCUACUUAGCAAAUAAAGAAACUCAAUGAGAA